rfam:Beta vulgaris subsp. vulgaris chromosome 6, whole genome shotgun sequence.
CCGACCUUAGCUCAGUUGGUAGAGCGGAGGACUGUAGUAGUUCACUCUGUCAGAUAUCCUUAGGUCGCUGGUUCGAAUCCGGCAGGUCGGA